rnacentral:rRNA from 1 species
AUUGAACGCUGGCGGCAGGCCUAACACAUGCAAGUCGAACGAGUGGCGGACGGGUGAGUAAUGUCUGGGAAACUGCCUGAUGGAGGGGGAUAACUACUGGAAACGGUAGCUAAUACCGCAUACCAUCAGAUGUGCCCCGAUGGGAUUAGCUUGUUGGUGGGGUAACGGCGCACCAAGGCGACGAUCCCUAGCUGGUCUGAGAGGAUUACCAGCAACACUGGAACUGAGACACGGCCCAGACUCCUACGGGAGGCAGCAGUGGGGAAUAUUGCGCAAUGGGGGAAAGCCUGAUGCAGCGAGGCCGCGUGAAUGAAGAAGGCCUUCGGGUUGUAAAGUACUUUCAUCGGGGAGGCGUUACCCGCAGAAGAAGCACCGGCUAACUCCGUGCCAGCAGCCGCGGUAAUUC